rnacentral:rRNA from 1 species
GUGAGGAAUAUUGGUCAAUGGGCGGGAGCCUGAACCAGCCAAGUCGCGUGAAGGAAGAAGGAUCUAUGGUUCGUAAACUUCUUUUGCGGGGGAAUAAAGUGCAGGACGUGUCCUGUUUUGUAUGUACCCUGAGAAUAAGGAUCGGCUAACUCCGUGCCAGCAGCCGCGGUAAUACGGAGGAUCCGAGCGUUAUCCGGAUUUAUUGGGUUUAAAGGGUGCGUAGGUGGUUUGAUAAGUCAGCGGUGAAAGUUUGCAGCUUAACUGUAAAAAUGCCGUUGAAACUGUCGGACUUGAGUGUAAAUGAGGUAGGCGGAAUGCGUGGUGUAGCGGUGAAAUGCAUAGAUAUCACGCAGAACUCCGAUUGCGAAGGCAGCUUACUAAGCUACAACUGACACUGAAGCACGAAAGCGUGGGGAUCAAACAGGAUUAGAUACCCUGGUAGUCC